rnacentral:tRNA from 1 species
AGGAAUUUAGGAUAACAUUAGACCAAGGACCUUCAAAGUCCUAAGCGGAAGUGAAAUUCUUCCAAUUCCUG